rnacentral:rRNA from 1 species
UACGAAGGGGGCUAGCGUUGUUCGGAAUUACUGGGCGUAAAGGGCUCGUAGGCGGCCAACUAAGUCCGACGUGAAAUCCCCAGGCUUAACCUGGGAACUGCGUCGGAUACUGGAUGGCUUGAAUUCGGGAGAGGGAUGCAGAAUUCCAGGUGUAGCGGUGAAAUGCGUAGAUAUCUGGAGGAAUACCGGUGGCGAAGGCGGCAUCCUGGACCGACAUUGACGCUGAUGAGCGAAAGCUAGGGGAGCAAACGGG